rfam:Sarcophilus harrisii ctg7180002420997, whole genome shotgun sequence.
AGUAAGGUCAGCUAAAUAAGCUAUUGGACUCAUACCCCAAAAAUGAUGGAUCACACCCUUCCCAUACUA